GAUGAAGGUUUUCGGAUCGUAAAACUCUGUCUUUAGGGACGAUAAUGACGGUACCUAAGGAGGAAGCCACGGCUAACUACGUGCCAGCAGCCGCGGUAAUACGUAGGUGGCAAGCGUUGUCCGGAUUUACUGGGCGUAAAGAGUAUGUAGGUGGGUGCUUAAGUCAGAUGUGAAAUUCCCGGGCUCAACCUGGGAGCUGCAUUUGAAACUGGGCAUCUAGAGUGCAGGAGAGGAAAGUGGAAUUCCUAGUGUAGCGGUGAAAUGCGUAGAGAUUAGGAAGAACACCAGUGGCGAAGGCGACUUUCUGGACUGUAACUGACACUGAGAUACGAAAGCGUGGGUAGCAAACAGGAUUAGAUACCCUGGUAGUCCACGCCGUAAACGAUGAAUACUAGGUGUCGGGGGGUACCACCCUCGGUGCCGCAGCAAACGCAUUAAGUAUUCCGCCUGGGGAGUACGGUCGCAAGAUUAAAACUCAAAGGAAUUGACGGGGACCCGCACAAGCAGCGGAGCAUGUGGUUUAAUUCGAAGCAACGCGAAGAACCUUACCUAGACUUGACAUCUCCUGAAUUACUCUUAAUCGAGGAAGUCCCUUCGGGGACAGGAAGACAGGUGGUGCAUGGUUGUCGUCAGCUCGUGUCGUGAGAUGUUGGGUUAAGUCCCGCAACGAGCGCAACCCUUAUUGUUAGUUGCUACUAUUAAGUUAAGCACUCUAACGAGACUGCCGCGGUUAACGUGGAGGAAGGUGGGGAUGACGUCAAAUCAUCAUGCCCCUUAUGUCUAGGGCUACACACGUGCUACAAUGGCUGGUACAACGAGCAGCAAACCCGCGAGGGGGAGCAAAACUUGAAAGCCAGUCCCAGUUCGGAUUGUAGGCUGAAACUCGCCUACAUGAAGUUGGAGUUGCUAGUAAUCGCGAAUCAGCAUGUCGCGGUGAAUACGUUCCCGGGUCUUGUACACACCGCCCGUCACACCAUGAGAGCCGGUAACACCCGAAGCCCGUGAGGUAACCGUAAGGAGCCAGCGGUCGAAGGUGGGAUUGGUGAUUGGGGUGAAGUCGUAACAAGGUAGCCGUAGGAGAACCUGCGGCUGGAUCACCUCCUUUCUA
rnacentral:rRNA from 1 species